rnacentral:rRNA from 1 species
CCGGCACGGGUGAGUAACACGUAUCCAACCUGCCGUCUACUCUUGGCCAGCCUUCUGAAAGGAAGAUUAAUCCAGGAUGGCAUCAUGAGUUCACAUGUCCGCAUGAUUAAAGGUAUUUUCCGGUAGACGAUGGGGAUGCGUUCCAUUAGCUAGUUGGCGGGGUUACGGCCCACCAAGGCAACGAUGGAUAGGGGUUCUGAGAGGAAGGUCCCCCACAUUGGAACUGAGACACGGUCCAA